CAAUAGCGUAUAUUAAAGUUGUUGCAGUUAAAAAGCUCGUAGUUGGAUUUCUGGUCUGAUGCCCUGGCCCGCGUCUUAUAGAUGUGUGUGCCGGCUGUGCGUCUGCCAUCCUUCUAGUAACCCUUCCUACCCUUCACUGGGCCGGGUUGGCGAUCUAGAUCUUUUACUUUGAAAAAUUAGAGUGUUUAAAGCAGGCUUUUGCUAUGAAUACAUUAGCAUGGAAUAAUAAUCUAGGACUUCGGUUCGUUAUUUUGUUUGGUUUCGUUAGUACUGAAGUAAUAGAUUGAUAGGGAGUAGUUGGGGGUUGGGCUAGUAUUGGUCCGGGCCCGACGAGGUGGAAAUUACUUUGGUA
rnacentral:rRNA from 1 species